GUGGUUGUGGCUCAGUGGUAGAGCGCUCGCCAAGCAUGUGGAGACCCUGGGUUUGAUCCUCAGCACCACA
rnacentral:tRNA from 1 species